rnacentral:misc_RNA from 1 species
GAUGAAGAACGUAGUGAAAUGCGAUAAGUAAUGUGAAUUGCAGAAUUCAGUGAAUCAUCGAAUCUUUGAACGCACAUUGCGCCCCUUGGUAUUCCGGGGGGCAUGCCUGUUCGAGCGUCAUUAUAACCCCUCAAGCUCAGCUUGGUGUUGGGGCCUGCCAACUGGCAGCCCUUAAGAUCAGUGGCGGCGCCAUCUGGCUCUAAGCGUAGUAAUUUCUCUCGCUAUAGGGUCCCGGUGGAUGCUUGCCAACAACCCCCAAUUUUCUAUGGUUGACCUCGGAUCAGGUAGGGAUACCCGCUGAACUUAAGCAUAUCAAAAGCGGAGGA